CUACAUGAAGCUGGAAUCGCUAGUAAUCGCGAAUCAGAAUGUCGCGGUGAAUACGUUCCCGGGUCUUGUACACACCGCCCGUCACACCAUGGGAGUCGGAAAUGCCCGAAGUCAGUGACCUAACCGAAAGGGAGGAGCUGCCGAAGGUGGAGCCGGUAACUGGGGUGAAGUCGUAACAAGGUAUC
rnacentral:rRNA from 1 species